UGAGAUAUUGUAUGGGACGCCUGACGUGCUCAUAUGUACAAGUUUAAUGCACCACCCACAGAUUUAUUUCAUUAUCUUCUUUGCGUUGUUUGAUUUGAUACUUGUUGGAAGCUUGGUCAACUGUUCUAAGCUUUCGGUUCUAAAUAAAGCUACAAAUUCAGAUGUGUAUGAAAAAUUCGGUAUCAAAACGUGUACUCCCUCUGUUUUGAAAUAUAAGUCUUGUUAAAGGUUUUAGUAGGGAUUAUAUAUGGAUUUAUAUAGGGGAACGACUAGGUAGCAGUGCCGCACCUAGGUACUCUAAUGCGAUGGCUACCAUAUCCAUUGUACACAAAUGCUUGCAAAAAAAAAAAGAUCGGCUGUAUGCACAUGCAUGUACCUACAAAUUCAGAUGUGUAUGAAAAAUUCGGCAUCAAAACGUGUAUUCCCCCUGUUUCGAAAUAUAAGUUUUUUUUAAAUGUUUUAGUAGGGAUUACAUAUGGAUUUAUAUAGAGGAACGACUAGGUAGCGGCGCCGCAUCCAGAUACUCCAGUGCGAUGGCUACCAUAUCCAUUGUACACAAAUGCUUGCAAAAAAGAAACAAAGAGAACCGGCUGUAUGCACAUGCAUGUACUUGGGAUAUGUAAUCCCAUGGUGUGCUUAAUUCUUCCUCCUUU
rnacentral:lncRNA from 1 species